rnacentral:sRNA from 1 species
AGGCCUUCGCUGUCUGUCAGGGCUAUGACCCUCCCGAGGGCUUCAUCCCGGACCUGAGCAAACCCCUGCUGGACCAUUCUUACGACCCAGAUUUCAACCAGCUGGAUGGUCCCACCCGCAUCAUUGUGCCUUUUGUGACCUGUGGGGACCUGAGCUCCUAUGAUUCGGACCGCAGUUACCCACUGGACCUAGAGGGCGGCUCAGAGUACAAGUACACUCCACCCACACAGCCCCCCAUCUCGCCACCAUACCAGGAGGCCUGCACGUUGAAGAGGAAGGGGCAGCUGGCCAAGGAGAUCCGCCCCCAGGACUGCCCCAUCAGCAGAGUGGACACGUUUCCCCAGCCCCUGGCCGCCCCUCAGUGCCACACCCUGCUGGCCCCUGAGAUGGAAGACAAUGAAAUGAGUUGUUCACCUUAACCCAUUACGGCGUUGUUCUAGGUUUGGAGAUAGAGCAGGGAGCAAAACAGAAAUAUCUUGGCUCUCACAGUACUUCCAGUUUGGAAAAGAGGCAACAAUCAAAACAGUCUCUGGCAAACUGAUACAACUCAGAAACUGCUCAAUGUCAGGAAAACCGGAACUUGUUGAUGAACUUGUUUUCAAAAUAUCAUCUCAUCAACGAGGCCUGGACAAACAAGCCCUGAGGAGGGAUCUGCAACAACCCUGAAGACAACAAGGAAAGAAACCAUGAAAGUCUGUCUGUACUGCAGUGGGAAUUCUUGAGUGAGGUCUUACCUCUUCUUUAAACCUCUUCAGGAGUGUCCUGAUUAUAUCCAGAA